rnacentral:rRNA from 1 species
GACGAACGCUGGCGGCGUGCUUAACACAUGCAAGUCGAACGGAAAGGCCCUGCUUUUGUGGGGUGCUCGAGUGGCGAACGGGUGAGUAACACGUGAGUAACCUGCCCUUGACUUUGGGAUAACUUCAGGAAACUGGGGCUAAUACCGGAUAGGAGCUCCUGCUGCAUGGUGGGGGUUGGAAAGUUUCGGCGGUUGGGGAUGGACUCGCGGCUUAUCAGCUUGUUGGUGGGGUAGUGGCUUACCAAGGCUUUGACGGGUAGCCGGCCUGAGAGGGUGACCGGCCACAUUGGGACUGAGAUACGGCCCAGACGCCUACGGGAGGCAGCAGUGGGGAAUAUUGCACAAUGGGCGGAAGCCUGAUGCAGCAACGCCGCGUGCGGGAUGACGGCCUUCGGGUUGUAAACCGCUUUCGCCUGUGACGAAGCGUGAGGGACGGGAAUGGGGAAAGAAGCACCGGCGAACUACGU